rnacentral:rRNA from 1 species
GGCAAAAGCUCAAAUUUGAAAUCUGGCACUUUCAGUGUCCGAGUUGUAAUUUGAAGAAGGUAACUUUGGAGUUGGCCCUUGUCUAUGUUCCUUGGAACAGGACGUCACAGAGGGUGAGAAUCCCGUGCGAUGAGGUGUCCAAUUCUAUGUAAAGUGCUUUCGAAGAGUCGAGUUGUUUGGGAAUGCAGCUCUAAGUGGGUGGUAAAUUCCAUCUAAAGCUAAAUAUUGGCGAGAGACCGAUAGCGAACAAGUACAGUGAUGGAAAGAUGAAAAGAACUUUGAAAAGAGAGUGAAAAAGUACGUGAAAUUGUUGAAAGGGAAGGGCUUGAGAUCAGACUCGGUAUUUUGCAAGCCUAUCCUUCGUGGAGAGGUUUAUUAGCAGCUUACCGGGCCAGCAUCGGUUUGGAUGGUAGGAUAAUGGCAUUGGAAUGUGGCUCCUCGGAGUGUUAUAGCCUUUGUUGAUACUGCCUAUCUAGACCGAGGACUGCGUCUUUGACUAGGAUGCUGGCGUAAUGAUCUUAAGCCGCCCGUCUU